GAGAAGAAAGCAUUUUGGUAUUGCAAUCGCCCUGUAAAGGCGAUGGUUUCGACCAUUCUGGGUUCAAAUCCCAGUCUUCUCA
rnacentral:tRNA from 4 species